rnacentral:misc_RNA from 1 species
AACUUGAUGGCACCAUAGGGCAACUCUUAAUUGCAUGCAGUUCUUCAUUAUCAGACUGAUUAGAGCUUGAUGCAUCGUUAUCACGCGGCAAUGCAAUCAUCAGGUUGUCAACAGAUGAGAAGUGGCUAUCCCCGCGACGCUUUAACUUUUCUCUGGCAGCAGCACAUUUUAAAGAAGACAAACUUCUAGACAGGCCCUCUUUGAAAGAACUUGAUCUUGGACUGAGGCUUUCCUGAUAAGAUGAAUUUGCUUUCAUAGCCUGGCUGCCAAUGGGUCGGGAACGCCGAGACUUGGAAGAUAGGGAAGAUGUUGCAUCAGAGAGGUCAAGAUUGAUGCCUGACGAAGAGGCAGGUAUGCAUGCUACACUUUCUCGGGUGUUACUUCCUAGAAGAUAGGAGCGGAGGUGAAUUGCAAAGCAAUCAAGUCGUGAGUUGCUAAUUCCAGUUAAUACUGCAAUAGAUGGUCUCCUCUCGAGUACAUCUUUCAUCUUGGCAAUCAAUUCAAUACCCAAGAGCUUCGACUUCUCUGAGCACCAGAAGUAAUAAUCUCUACCAUCUGCUAUCUUUAUAAGGAAAGAUCGCCCAGAACUGUCUGCUAAGAUCUCCUCAACUGUGACAGCAGGACUAAGUGGUUUACUGCUUAGGGUGAAUAGUCUUUCCGUGUUACCAUUAUCUCCAAUGAAUGAGAGACGCAAAUCAGACGUCGGCAGCAUUGUAAGAUUUAAAUUUCCCCUU